AUCGAACGCUGGCGGCAGGCCUAACACAUGCAAGUCGAACGAGUGGCGGACGGGUGAGUAAUGUCUGGGAAACUGCCUGAUGGAGGGGGAUAACUACUGGAAACGGUAGCAAAUACCGCAUACCAUCGGAUGUGCCCAGAUGGGAUUAGCUAGUAGGUGGGGUAAAGGCGCACCUAGGCGACGAUCCCUAGCUGGUCUGAGAGGAUGACCGGCCGCACUGGACCGGAGUCGCGGUCCAGACUCCUACGGGAGGAAGCAGUGGGGAAUAGUGCGCAAUGGGCGCAAGCCUGAUGCAGCCAGGCGGCGUGUAUGAAGAAGGCCUUCGGGUUGUAAAGUGCUUUCAGCGGGGAGGCGUUACCCGCAGAAGAAGCACCGGCUAACUCCGUGCCAGCAGCCGCGGUAAUAC
rnacentral:rRNA from 1 species